UCCUCCCUCUUUCUUCGUGCUUCCCCCCUGCACGUCGACCGGUAAGGCCCCAGCUUGCUGGGGUACACGAGUGGCGAACGGGUGAGUAACACGUGGGUGACCUGCCCUGCACUUCGGGAUAAGCCUGGGAAACUGGGUCUAAUACCGGAUAGGACCGCACCGUGAGGGUGUGGUGGAAAGUUUUUCGGUGUGGGAUGGGCCCGCGGCCUAUCAGCUUGUUGGUGGGGUAAUGGCCUACCAAGGCGGCGACGGGUAGCCGGCCUGAGAGGGUGGACGGCCACAUUGGGACUGAGACACGGCCCAGACUCCUACGGGAGGCAGCAGUGGGGAAUAUUGCACAAUGGGCGGAAGCCUGAUGCAGCGACGCCGCGUGGGGGAUGACGGCCGUCGGGUUGUAAACUCCUUUCACCAUCGACGAAGGUUUUCUGACGGUAGAUGGAGAAGAAGCACCGGCUAACUACGUG
rnacentral:rRNA from 1 species